ACGAACGCUGGCGGCAUGCCUAACACAUGCAAGUCGAACGAGACCUUCGGGUCUAGUGGCGCACGGGUGCGUAACGCGUGGGAACCUGCCCUUAGGUUCGGAAUAACUCCCCGAAAGGGGUGCUAAUACCGGAUAAUGUCUUCGGACCAAAGAUUUAUCGCCUUUGGAUGGGCCCGCGUUGGAUUAGCUAGCUGGUAGGGUAAAAGCCUACCAAGGCGACGAUCCAUAGCUGGUCUGAGAGGAUGAUCAGCCACACUGGGACUGAGACACGGCCCAGACUCCUACGGGAGGCAGCAGUGGGGAAUAUUGGACAAUGGGCGAAAGCCUGAUCCAGCAAUGCCGCGUGAGUGAUGAAGGCCUUAGGGUUGUAAAGCUCUUUUACCCGGGAUGAUAAUGACAGUACCGGGAGAAUAAGCUCCGGCUAACUCCGUG
rnacentral:rRNA from 1 species